GCGAACGCUGGCGGCAGGCUUCACACAUGCAAGUCGAGCGGGCACUUCGGUGUCAGCGGCAGACGGGUGAGUAACACGUGGGAACGUACCCUUUGGUUCGGAAUAACGCUGGGAAACUAGCGCUAAUACCGGAUACGCCCUUUUGGGGAAAGGCUUGCUGCCGAAGGAUCGGCCCGCGUCUGAUUAGCUAGUUGGUGGGGUAAUGGCCUACCAAGGCGACGAUCAGUAGCUGGUCUGAGAGGAUGAUCAGCCACACUGGGACUGAGACACGGCCCAGACUCCUACGGGAGGCAGCAGUGGGGAAUAUUGGACAAUGGGCGCAAGCCUGAUCCAGCCAUGCCGCGUGAGUGAUGAAGGCCUUAGGGUUGUAAAGCUCUUUUGUCCGGGACGAUAAUGACGGUACCGGAAGAAUAAGCCCCGGCUAACUUCGUG
rnacentral:rRNA from 1 species